UACGUAGGGUCCGAGCGUUGUCCGGAAUUACUGGGCGUAAAGAGCUCGUAGGUGGUUUGUCGCGUUGUCCGUGAAAUCCCACAACUCAAUUGUGGGUCUGCGGGCGAUACGGGCAGACUGGAGUACUGCAGGGGAGACUGGAAUUCCUGGUGUAGCGGUGGAAUGCGCAGAUAUCAGGAGGAACACCGGUGGCGAAGGCGGGUCUCUGGGCAGUAACUGACGCUGAGGAGCGAAAGCUUGGGGAGCGAACAGG
rnacentral:rRNA from 1 species